UGACGGGCGUCCCGAUCUACCAUCAGCGUUGCCCUGGGAAUAAACCACGAGCACCUGGAAAAGCCACUGAUCACCGGACUCGCCGCACCUGGAGCUCGUUUGCCGGUGGCCAGAUAAGCCACGUCAGGCUCACACUCCGAAGCCAGUCCUUGAACCGCGACACGGAGCUAAUUCCCCCAAGAUUCACCGUUGCCGUACUCACCGACUGCACCCUGAGCACCGAGCACCCAGAAGAUAACGCCACUGACAGCGAUUGUGCACCGGCUCACCAUUCACGUAUCACAUAUUGUUAAAUAAACGUGCCCUCCGGGGUUCAAACGCC